GCAUGUUGCGUUGCGGAACCAAAUCAAAGGUUAAGCGUGUGCGAGAGAUCUGUGUAGACUCCGUGUCAGCCCGUGGACCCAGGGUUCAACGACCUGGUGUCGGAAGGACACAGGUUGCGAUCGAUAUUCAAGAUGCAGGUCAAGACCAGAUCUCUGGUAUUUGAGAAGGUGCGAAAGACCAUUUGCAAUAGUAGUGCAGAAACCAUAUGAAGUUCAGAUGGGUCCUAACCAACUGUGCACUUUCUUGACGUUGCUGUGACGACCUUAUCCAUUUUCUAAGUAUGUCUUGAGCGAAGCCAAGAAAGUGUUGACACAAAACUUGACCAAUUUUGGUAAUUAUUGACAAGUACCAAAUGAGUCGAUAGAUACAGUUUGGUUAGAAAAAUCAACAACUUGAAGAGAAUUGACAACACUCCAAUAAAGUUAUCGACAACCAACCUUCACCUGGGAUGAAGUUGUCGACACUGGCAUGUAACUGCCAAGUAGAGAUAUUUUCGGAUAUGUAACUUCCUAUAGAUAAGUGUUGCUUAGUAAUGGGAUAUCGCAAAGCAGCUUUUUGUAACCAUGGAUAGGUUAAAGAAAUUAUUUAUUUUUUCAAAUUGAGUAACCAUUGUAUGUAA